GAUGAAGAACGCAGCGAAAUGCGAUACGUAAUGUGAAUUGCAGAAUUCAGUGAAUCAUCGAGUCUUUGAACGCACAUUGCGCCCCCUGGUAUUCCGGGGGGCAUGCCUGUUCGAGCGUCAUUUCACCACUCAAGCCUCGCUUGGUAUUGGGCAACGCGGUCCGCCGCGUGCCUCAAAUCGACCGGCUGGGUCUUCUGUCCCCUAAGCGUUGUGGAAACUAUUCGCUAAAGGGUGUUCGGGAGGCUACGCCGUAAAACAACCCCAUUUCUAAGGUUGACCUCGGAUCAGGUAGGGAUACCCGCUGAACUUAAGCAUAUCAAUAAGCGGAGGA
rnacentral:misc_RNA from 1 species